GAGAGGGAGAUGAGUGAGAGGGGUCAGUGUCCAAACUCCAAGAGGCAGAGGAGAGUGGCAGAGAAUAACAAAGGAGGAGGGGGGGGAUACGUGUGUCAUAAGACUAGAGGCGGACGAUAUGAAGACCGAAAAUGGGAGGAAACAAGGGGGAGGAGCAGCCCCAUGCGCAGCAUGCAAGCUUCUCAGAAGACGGUGUGGGGAAGAAUGUGUGUUUGCUCCAUACUUUCCCGCCGACCAACCUCAUAAGUUCGCCAACGUUCAUAAGGUUUUCGGCGCUAGCAAUGUUAACAAAAUGCUUCAGGAGCUGCCAAUUCAUCAACGAGGAGAUGCAGUGAGCAGUUUGGUGUACGAAGCAAAUGCUCGAGUGCGCGACCCGGUGUAUGGGUGUGUUGGAGCAAUAUCGUCUCUACAGCAUCAAAUAGACGCCCUCCAAACUCAACUGGCUUUAGCUCAAGCCGAGGUGGUGCACCUCAGGGUGCGUCAGACAGCGUCAUUUUCAAACUAUGGGCUAAGCCCAACAAGCCCAAGUAAUAGUGGGUCACCCUCAUCAAGGCUCAUGGGCUCACAAUCUAGGACCAUGUUUGAGAUGGAUAUGGUUGUGGACCAAGCCAUGGAGGAAUCAAUGUGGUGAUAUUAUCAUACUAUUAUUAUGUUCCUAAAAUCCCAUUUCCAUGGAGAUUUAGUUAGUUUUGCCAUUUUUUCUUUCUUUUUUCUACCCUAUUUUGUCAAAUUGGCUUUCACCUGCUUCUUCGCCCAUUUGCUAUCUUGAUUUCCUACUCAUAUACUACUUACUUUCCUAUAUGCCGACCUGAGCAUAGCUCCAGCAGUCAGAGAAAUUUUCACCCACGUUUCCCAUUAAAAUUUAGUUUCAAUCCCUUCAAAUCCGUCUCAAGAUUCGUUUUUCUCCAUGGCAAACGAAGGUAACAACGGCAACUCGAAAGGAUCAACGAAGGUAACAAAUGAACCUUCAUUUGCCAUUAAUGUUUGAAGCACAACACUUAGAGAGGGGAUGGCAUGCUGGAUGCAGUAUCUCUCCUCCAUGAUCGAGAGAUGGCCUCUAUUUCUCUUUUUCUAAUCAAUGUCUUGGUAGUAUAAUUUUUCAUUGAAGCUUUUAGGGAUGUAAGAAUAUUGAACCUGAAUAACCCGGACUACCCGACCCAUAUUAUAAGGGUUGGGUUGGGUUAGCUUAAAAUAUUUUAAUCCUUGCUUGUGCCUACGCUGUAAAACUCCAAAUUAAGUUAUAGAUCUUGUUAUUGUUGUA